CUGCACCCUAGAACCUGGAGCUAACAGAGAAAAACUGUGAUGUGGACUCUGCUAGACAGGCUACUGGAGUAAGGGUGAAGUGAUGAAGAUCUCAUCAUUGGGACAUAUUAACACAGUGCUUUUAUGCAGAUGACUGAACCCGUGGAGUUAGGCGGCUGAGAGGAUACAGC
rnacentral:lncRNA from 1 species